rnacentral:rRNA from 1 species
AGAGUUUGAUCCUGGCUCAGGAUGAACGCUGGCGGUGUGUCUAAGGCAUGCAAGUCGAAUGCUCAUAGCAAUAUGGGCAUGGCAAACGGGAGAGUAACACAUUGGUAACCUACCUCGAAGACGGGGAUAACCUUACGAAAGUGAGGAUAAUACCCGAUAGUAUGUCAGAACAUAAGUUCUGCCAUUAAAGCUCCGACGCUUCGAGAGGGGCCUAUGUCCUAUCAGCUUGUUGGUAAGGUAAUGGCUUACCAAGGCGAUGACGGGUAGCGGGCGCGAGAGCGUGACCCGCCUCACUGGGACUGAGAACUGCCCAGACUCCUACGGGAGGCUGCAGUCAAGAAUCUUCCUCAAUGGGCGAAAGCCUGAAGGAGCGACACCGCGUGCACGAAGAAGCCUUUCGGGGUGUAAAGUGCUUUUAUAUGUGACGAAACAAUGACGGUAGCAUAUGAAUAAGGGGCUGCUAACCUCGUGCCAGCAGCAGCGGUAAUACGAGGGCCCCAAGCGUUAUCCGGAUUUAUUGGGCGUAAAGCGUCCGUAGGUGGUUUAUCGCAUCUCCUGUUAAAUCCCGAGGCUCAACCUCGGGCCAGCGGGAGAGAUGGACAAACUAGAGACCGGAAGAGGCAAACGGAAUUGCUGGUGUAGGGGUUAAAUCCAUUAAUAUCAGCAAGAACACCAAAUGCGAAGGCAGUUUGCUAGGACGGUUCUGACACUCAGUGGACGAAAGCGUGGGGAGCGAAUGGGAUUAGAUACCCCAGUAGUCCACGCCGUAAACGAUGGAUGCUGAACAUUGGCAGUAUCGACCCUGCCAGUGUGGCUGUA